UGAUUGAAAGUGCGUGUUGUGGAUUUUCUAGUGUUUAACAGACAUUUAGUAGUGCGCGAUUUUUUAAAUUUCGAGUGAUUAAAGUGCCAAUGGAAGGGAUCUCCAGGGAACCUGGACGCUAUAAUCGUGCUACAAGGAUCAGGAUUAAAGGUAGGUCCGUUCUAAGAAGAAGAGGGAACGAAGAGGAGGCCAGGGUGAGUGAAUUUUAAUUUUUUCUAAGUGUGGUGAAGUGUGUGAAGUGAAAAUGUGAGUGCAACAUUUUAGAACACAGUAAGUAUUUAUAAGUAUCAAGAUAUGAGUGAAAAUUAAUUAAUUGUAGAUGAAACGUAAUUCUCUCAAAUCUUUUGAAGAAAAUCCAGAUAUUUGACGAAGCAUCUCUUAAAUAUUGAAGAAAAACAUUCACAGCAAGCUCGAGACUAAGUAUAAUGUACGAAUUUGCUUUUGUUUUUUUUUCAUUACUAAUUUUUUCAAUUUUUUGUUUCAGAUGACUCGAGUGAUUGAAAGUGCGUGUUGUGGAUUUUCUAGUGUUUAACAGACAUUUAGUAGUGCGCGAUUUUUUAAAUUUCGAGUGAUUAAAGUGCCAAUGGAAGGGAUCUCCAGGGAACCUGGACGCUAUAAUCCUGCUACAAGGAUCAGGAUUAAAGGGUUAGUUGUCAAAGUUUUUUUUCAAAUUUGUAUACUGAUCUUGUAUUUUUUUAUUUUCAGUAGGUCCGUUCUAAGAAGAAGAGGGAACGAAGAGGAGGCCAGGGUGAGUGAAUUUUAAUUUUUUCUAAGUGUGGUGAAGUGUGUGAAGUGAAAAUGUGAGUACAACAUUUUAGAACACAGUAAGUAUUUAUAAGUACAUGUUAAAAUAUGAGUGAAAAUUAAUUAAUUAAUUGUAGAUGAAACGCAAUUCUUUCAAAUCUUUUGAAGAAAAAUUCCCAAAUAUUUGACGAAGCAUCUCUUAAAUAUUGAAGAAAAACAUUCACAGCAAGCUCGAGACUAAGUAUAAUAUGACUCGAGUGACUGAAAGUGCGUGUUGUGGAUUUUUGAGUGUUUAACAGACAUUUAGUAGUGCGCGAUUUUUUAAAUUUCGAGUGAUUAAAGUGCCAAUGGAGGGGAUCUUCAGGGAACCUGGACGCUAUAAUCGUGCUACAUGGAUCAGGAUUAAAGGUAGGUCCGUUCAAAGAAGAAGAGGGAACGAAGAGGAGGCCAGGGUGAGUGAAUUUUAAUUUUUUCUAAGUGUGGUGAAGUGUGUGAAGUGAAAAUGUGAGUGCAACAUUUUAGAACACAGUAAGUAUUUAUAAGUAUCAAGAUAUGAGUGAAAAUUAAUUAAUUAAUUGUAGAUGAAACGUAAUUCUCUCAAAUCUUUUGAAGAAAAUCCAGAUAUUUG